rnacentral:rRNA from 1 species
UACGUAGGGUGCGAGCGUUAAUCGGAAUUACUGGGCGUAAAGCGUGCGCAGGCGGUUCGUCGUGUCCGAUGUGAAAGCCCCGGGCUCAACCUGGGAAUGGCAUUGGAAACUGGAGGGCUUGAGUGUGGCAGAGGGGGGUGGAAUUCCGCGUGUAGCAGUGAAAUGCGUAGAGAUGCGGAGGAACACCGAUGGCGAAGGCAGCCCCCUGGGCUAACACUGACGCUCAGGCACGAAAGCGUGGGGAGCAAACAGG